rnacentral:tRNA from 5 species
GGGGAUGUAGCUCAGCUGGGAGAGCACCUCGUUCGCAACGAGGGGGUCGGCGGUUCGAAUCCGCUCAUCUCCACCA